CCACUAGAGCAGGCUGGGGAGGGUCCAGCAAAGGGCCACAAAGAUGAUCCAAAGGCUGGGAAGCUGUGUGAGGGAAGGCUGAGAGAGCUGGGAAUGGGGAGACCUUA